AUUUAGGGUCAUUUCAUGAGAGUUUGGGGUCAGAUGCUGAGAUUUGGGGUCAGAUGCUGAGAUUUGGGGCCGAUUGGGCUGAAUUUGGGGUCAGGUGCUGAGAUUUGGGGUCAUUUCGUGAGAGUUUGGGGUCAGAUGCUGAGAUUUGGGAUCAGUUCAUGAGAGUUUGGGGUCAGAUGCUGAGAUUUGGGGUCAGAUGCUGAGAUUUGGGGCCGAUUGGGCUGAAUUUGGGGUCAGGUGCUGAGAUUUGGGGUCAUUUCAUGAGAGUUUGGGGUCAGAUCCAGAGAUUUGGGGGUCACUAUGUGAGAGUUUGGG
rnacentral:lncRNA from 1 species